rnacentral:lncRNA from 1 species
UAAGUUGAAGUGAAUGUCUCUAUUGUAGUACAGAGAUCCUCAAUUUACUAGGUCUAUUAACUUCACGUGAUAUCAGAAAAUAAAUGUAUGUUCACAUUCAAAAAAUUUAAGCUAUAUGUUUAAUCAAAAGUAGGUUGGUCAUUUGCAUUUUUAGCACAUAUCUCUAACAUUAUAUCUUAGCAAGUAUUCUUUUAUUAAAAAAUGUAAGUGAAUUACCCAAAUGUUAUUGUACUUUGAAAAAGCAUACACAUCAUUGUUAAGCUAAUAUGUCAUUAAUAUGCAUACUCUUAUUUGCCUAUCAAAAAAAAAAAAAAAAAACAAUGUUAAGCUAAUAUUCCAUGUCAAAUAAAGUGGUGAUUUUAUUGAGUUCCAAGCAGUUUUGAAUAGUUACAGUGAACUUUGAGAAGUUUGGGAAAGUUUAAAUGAGCUUUUGAGUAUCUGUAAAAUUAAAUUAGAGAGAGGGAGGGAGGGAGUAGCUUCCAGGAGUUAUAAUUUAAAACUACAUGGAGGGAGGGAGGGUGUAAAAAAUUAGAAGUUACAUUUAGACUUCAUUUCUAUUGCCUCAAGAAUGGAAAAUUGCGUUUUUUCUUUGAAAACAGGUUGGAACUUCAAACCAUGAUGUGUUGGCAUGUCAAUCUUCCCAAACUCAUGUAGUAUGAUACUUAACCAUGCCUAUUAUCCUCUUGAGUUUUUAUUUGGCUGUCUUUUUUUCAAUUCUCCAACACAUUUAAUCAUGACAUUUGUGAUCUUUGAACAAUCUCUCAGAGAAAUUAGCAGAGGAACUUGUUCAGAUGUUCAUACUUGAACUAAAUUUGAAGGUGAAUUUUGGUUUUGUUUUGCUACUCCAGAUUUCUAUUUUAUUUGGACAUGUAAUAGAUCACUUGUCUUUGCUUGUAACUCUAUUCUUAUUGGUAUUGUUUGCUCUAAGCAGCGGUUGCUUGUAGUGGAGUUACUCUCCAUCAGUUGUGAAGAAGCUCCACAAGAUGAUCGAUAUUGUUGGUCAGAUGAGCUGUAUCCAGGGGAAUUUGAUGAUUUGGGUAUAUGCAGCUUGCAUUCAAAAGAAAUUGGUGAGCUUAUUCCCCCAAAAAUAAUAGGUUUUGAAUCUCAUUCGCCUGUUAUACGUUCUAAUCAGCAGCCAGAUCAUGAGAUCUUACAGGUAUAAAACAUUCAUUAUUGUAUAAUGCAUAUAAUUAAUUGUUUGAAAGUAUGAUCGACUUUAGCAUGCAUUUGCUUUUGGGUUAGAUGUGUAUAUACAUAGAUUUUAUACAUGCAUAUUUAUUACAUUUGUAAGCUUGUAUUCUUGAACAAGGAACUACCUAGAGUGGGAUGAAUAUGUCUUCAAAAUUUUAUGCCGAAGCGAAAUAUCUUAAAUCAAUAACUUUUAGGUCUAUCUCAAAUUGAUUAAUGUGAUUCAAUUAUGCCAUUUAGAUUAGCCCUAUGAGAAUUGAUACAUGUCCCGAUAAUCUUUUUCUCUGAUAAUUUUGCUCCAAAGAUUACUUGUCCGAGACUACUUUACUACCACUAUACUAACAUGUUUGAGUUGAAGACACAAAAUUUGAAGCUAAGGUAAGAAUGUGGUUUUGGAUUUGAUUAAGCAAUGACAAAAUUCAAUUUAACGUAAAAAGAAGUCUAAAAAAUUUAAGGAAGUUUAAAAUAAUGUUUCCUUAUUGAUUUCCACUUUCCACUUUCCAAUUCUAUUAAACAUUCUAUUGUGUUCUAACUAGGUUUUUGUGCUUAUAAAAAGAAGACUACUUUUCAUAAUCCUGUAAUAAAUUACAUCACCUAAUAUUACCACAGAUGAUGCCUUGCAUAGUAUCUAGUUUCUCCGAGAUAGUAAUUCUAUUUGUCUUCAUAAAGAAGCCAUUUCCUUACUUACAAUUGACAGUGGUGAGCAAUCAAGUUGUCCACAUACACAUGGGUAUAUUCAGAAGGAAGGAUCCACCGUUAUGGAUCUCAAGAAUUCCACAUGCACAGUACCUAGGAAUGAAUGACUAGCUUUCUUGAUGGAAACUUUAGUACCGAAUUCACCCAAAAGAAUUAGAGAUGAAAUAAAUUUGCGCAAGUGAAAUGAUAUAGUUUUGUUGAUAACUGGAUUUGGAUACUCCUUUGUAUUUGAAUGCUUUUCUAGUAUUCUCACCAUAACCAAAGAUAAAAGAAGUGGUUUCUAUCUCUGUUGCUGACUGUUGAAUUAUUGGAGUUUUGCAGGUUUACCUUACAACUUGGCUUGCAGAGGUGAACAUUGAUACACAUAGGUAAAAAUGAAUUACAAGAUUUGAAGCUCAUUAGAUACUUUCAAACCCAAACUACCCCUCCCCACAAAAAAUAAAUAAUAAUAAUAAAAAAAAAAAUUCAAUUCCUGAAGUAUGAAAACAUAAGUGACAGACUUGAAGUUAGAUACCAAUAUCUGUUUUCAAAAAUUGUGAAAAAGCUGGAACUUUUUAAUGCUCAUGUAUCCUUAAUGUUGAGCACAGACCAUUGCUUACUGUCUUUAUAAUUUGAAAUUCUCACCAUUUUGAUUGGUUGAGCAUGAAUGGUUACUUAGGUUCUGAUCCCUGUUUUCCUUGUUUUCCUUUAUAGGGUUGAUGAAAUAUUUGCUGUAAUUGGGGAGGAAAUGCACGUUGGCCUUCCAUGAACCUGCUUGUAUGGCAAAAAGGAGAGAAGUGCUACUACAAUGAAUCCAUCAAAGAUUCUGCAGACCACAAUAGGCUAAAAAUUGGGUAGUCCUAUAAUUUAUCUGUAUCUAUACCAUAUAUAAAAGAGCAAAGUGUUAAGACUUUUUUUUCCCUUAAAUAUCCUGUUCAUCACUCUUAUGUACGCAUACAUCCUAUUAUUAUUUUAUUGAAUUAAUUUGGAUAAUGUUUUUUUUUUUUAUUUAAGAAACACAUUAUUUAAAUAAUGUUUUUUUUUAAUUAUCAUAAUUUAUUUAAAGUAACUUUAACAUGAAAGUUUUUAUAUUAUUUAUAAAAUUUUUAGAUGAAAAAGAUAGAUGAUUUUUUUUUCUUUUUUGCAUUUCUAAAAAUGCAAUCAUAUGAAACAACCUAAAAACUUUGAUUCAAAUAAUAUUUCUCUUUUGAAAAAUCAUAAUUUAUAAACGGUAAUAUUUAUAUAAUAUAAAAAGUAUGAAUUUACUUUAUAUCUUUGAAAAAUCAUUUUUAAAAAUUUUAGAAUUUGAGAUAAUAAAUUUUUUUUACAUCUCAUUUUUUUUAAAUAAUUUUUAAAAUCAUUAAUUUUAAUGUAAAUCUUUAAAAAAUUUAUUGCACCGUUACGACUACUUUUUUAUUUUAAAAACAGAAAACAUGAAAUAUAUCUAGAAUAUAAUAAGGAAAUAGUUUGCAUACAAUGUGUAAUGUAAGCUUCAAGUAGAAUAACCUUAAAAGAAACAAUUUCAAGGUUUUCGUAAAACAUUAACGUAACCAUAUAUAAUGAAGUCUUAGAAUAUAAUCAUGCUAACAAAACUCUUAUGGUUCGGAUGUCGGAUGUACAAAAUCAAGAAUGAAUUAAGAACAAAUAUACGUCAAAAUCAAGAAUGAAAGAACAAAUAACCGUCCAAGAGGUACUGCCUAUAUGCCGAUAUUUGUUGCAUAGAGAUGCUAUGAUCCAUGUCGAACAUCGUAUUCUCAGACAACCCCAUCUGCGGCAUGGAAUUUGUGGGAUGGGUGUUAAACAUCAUCGUAUUCUUGGAUACCGACAUCUCUUGCAUGGGAGGAACAGUCCCCAUCUUCUGAUAUGAAGUUGAAGGAUCAGGGUUAUUCUUGAACAUCCCAUGAGCUGGAUCAUAAUGAAUUGGGUCCUGAAAUUGAGUACUGUGGUGCAGGAGCUCACUGCUGGAUGCCUUCCCACUUCCAAAUUCUUGAUAUCCGUUAUUCUCCAUAUUCAUCAUCAUCAUCGGGUUCAAAUCAGAUUCAACCACUCCACUACUUGUAUCGGGAAAAUCCAAAUCAUAUAAGAACAUUUCAAUGCCUUCAAAGGCUUGCUCAUCAGCUGUAGGCAAACCCGGGAUAUGAGAGGAGUUCACAGGAGUCUUACUCAUCAAGCCCGCUUCUCCCUUCUUCAAAUCAAUCAGACUCAUCACAUGUUCAAGUUUCCUGUCCAAUUGAUCAUUUAUUUCCAUCAGAUUUUCAUAGGAAAGCCCAUCCAGUUCCAAUCCAGUCUCAGAAGUCUGCCCUUUGGUUUCGCCAUUUUUUUCCUGCAGCUUUUGCAGCUCAACUUCGGCCUUCCUCUUUCUGCUUUCAAGAAUGUCAGAUAAAUCCACCGCCCUCUUUCCAUGGUCUGCCUUCACGUACUUGUUCACUAUACGUUGAACUUCAUAGUGAUUUUCAGGCCAAACAUCAGGCUGAGAAGAAUAGGAGCCAUUGCCAUUCUGAUCACAAUACAUGAUCAUACACGCUUCAACAUCACAUAGAGUUGACAACUCCUGGAGCUUUUUCUUCAAGCCCUUUUGCCUAUUUCGGAAAGUUCUGCACCGAAGUUUCUCAUUAGCGAUCAACUCCAUUUUUAACUUGCCACGACCCAUUCUUCUUCUGAAGAAGAACAAGAAGAAGAAGAAGAAGGAUUGAUCAAAAUGCAGUCACUGGGUAUGUGGAGCAACAGAAGAAAAAGGGGAGAGAUCGAUCAAGAACAGCACUUCUCCUCUAAUGUCGUCAAUGGGUCACCGGUGCUAUUUAUAGAAAAGCUAAGCUAUGGAAACCGGAUUUAGAAACCAAAUAUAAAAUACCCAUAAAAAUAAAUAAUAAAUAAAAAUAAAAAUAAAAAGUGAAUGAUCAGUUACUAAUUAUGAUUACGGAUAUAAGAUUCGAAUUUUUUUUUUGACGUUGCUAAAAUCGUUUGCUAAAAACGUUGGGAAAAGUAUAGCAUUGGAGUGAUUGAGAUCAAAACGGACGCAGCUUUCAUCUUCUCCGGCACCGCUCAGAUGGGAAGGAUCUUGCUAUUCCCAAAAGGCUUCCUCUUCUAUUAUUCAUCUGUGCCUGCUAUGAGACGUGCCUGUGGCUUUGGUGAAGGAUAAACGGAGAAAGUCCCAAACUCAUGGGAUUUCUACAAACGGCGUCGUUGGGACCCUCUUUGAAACGCGUCGUUUCGGUUUCACCGUUUGGCGCCCGUAGGUCGAUUGAUCAAGUUUUGUGCGUGGCUUGAUCCUAGGCGGAACGGACCAUGGAAACCCUAGACGCAACUUCUUCUUGUUCUUCUUCUUCUUCAAAUCUCCAAAGCCCUAGCUCCAAAACUCCAACACGACCUCCUUCUGUCAUCUGCCUAUGGAGACCAGCCGCGCAGCGAAACCUCCGAAACCAGUGGUCGAAAUUAGCUUCCUACAGACAACAAUGGACUUCUACUGCCUCAAAGGGAAGGUCACAUGCCACAGAUCUUGUCAACUCCUAUCUCUCUCAAAGGCAAUUACAAACGUUUUGCUUCAACUUAUGGUUCUUUGAAUUUUAUGGUCCGUUUGGUUACUGAGGAAAUUCGGGAAAAGACAAGAGAGAUGCAGUUGAGAAAUGCAAUCUCAAAAUGUUUGAUUCUUUGCCUAUUUUGUGAUUUUCAUUUUAAUUGUCUCAAACCGAAGCAAUAUGGCAAGGAAGUUUGAAAAUAUCAUAGUUUAAUUUUCCUGAAAUUUCCCAGCAGCCAAACAGAGGAUAAGGGUUUGUGAGAGUCUUAAUGCGCUCAUUGGGAUUACUUUUUUGCUCAGAUAUAUGCCUGCCAUGGAGUUGGGUGUUCUGAGUGAUAUGCCCAAUAUUAGAAAGAAAGCUUGCAUGAAAUUAUUAAAGCAGCAGGUACUUCUACAUUAUGUCUUUGCCUGUGUGUGCAUGAUUCUUAAUUUCCUGGUCUCAAUGUUUUUAUAGCUUGUGUUAUAUCUACUACCAUUUCUUUUUGUUUGCGUAGAUUAUACGCCAAUGAUAAUCAAGCAUUUUUGAGAUUCAUCUUAAAGUCUUGUCUUGUUAGCAGUCUUUGGAUUCUAACUAGGUGCCGAAUUGAACUUAGGAUAAAUUUGGAUGCAGAAAAUUUUGCCUCUAUUUGUAACUUUUGCCAAAACAUGGAAAUGGGAAUUUUUUUUCUGAAAUUUUGGCCUGUUGGUAGGUAUUAUCAUUAAUUUGACUCAACAUCCAGUCAAUAUAUUUGGAACCACUGUCUACAGCCAUGGAUUUUUUUUGCGUUAAUGGGUCUUGGAUUUAGUUUUUUGUAUAUUGUCAUUUUUUUUAAUAUUCUGCAGGAAAUAUGCAUUGAUGAGAUAAGCUCUGAACUUCUCACAUUGUUGCUGUGGUUAACUGCUUGGCUAAAUGAUUUCCUGUUUUGUCUUUUCAAUGAGAAAUGAAUAAGAAUAGAUUAUUUUAGGAUCCCGAGUCUGUCAUGCAAACAAGUUUUGAUUACUAUCUACUUUUAUUUUGAUGGAUCUGCAUCUUAUAAAGUAUUUCAUCGUUUCAGGGCCUUCAUGGGAGCAAACUUUUGUCAGCAUACAAGGAUAUGGUAUGCAUACUGAACAUGUGUUAUUAGGUCCAUUAUAGGUGUCAAAGAUGUUACCUUGCAGAAUUAGAGCAGUAUUUAUGUGGGUAAAUAGUAAAUUAGAUUAGACCUAACUGAAAAUAAACUCUUUAAGGACGAAGAGGCAACAAGAAAUCUGGAACUGCUUCCAUCCAAGCUUAUAUUUCUCUCAAAAUUUUAGGAUAUCUUGCCAAUUCAUGGGUAAUAGAACUUCCAUUAUUCAAAGACAAGAAGGAAAACAAGCACUGAAAGGAAAAUGCAUUAGGGAUAUCAGCUAUACUGGGACCACCAGGAGCUAAACCCUCCUGCAUGGAUUGAGUCAUUUGACAACAGAGGUCUCCUUCCAGAAUUACUCAAUGAAAUUAGAAAAUAAAUACGAAACUGCUAACUUUAAAUGUUUAAAUUUCUAUACUUUCAAUAUUCAAAAAAAGAAACCCGAAUGAAAAUGGAAAAAAAAAAAAGGAAUAAUAAAGGAACAAACUCCAAUAUACACAGAGUAUCUAUUCUAGUACCCUGUUUAUGCUUAUUCUUCAACCACUGCUUUUUCUUUCACUCCCCCAAAUGGAAUUUGGCUUCACUGCAUUUGAAACUGUUUUAUUUAUGGGAAAAAUAGAUGUGAAGAUUACAAGAUGUUUAGGAUGAUUUUGGUCACCCUUUAAGCUCAACAGCUAAAAUGGAGCUGUGCUCUUGAAAAUUCAUACAACUCUCAUUUAACAGGGAAAUUGCAUCAUAUACCAAUAUGGGAACUUAUGCUGUAUGAGGUUAAUUUCUAGUCAAAGCUCAUAUCGGUAUGUUAAGGUGAAUAAGAAUAGAAAUAGUAGAAGGGAUUUAAGAGUAGAUCAUGCUGGAACUAACGUGAAGAAGAAUUAAGGAAAAAUCAGUAAGAAUGUGAUAUAUUCUUGAAGUAAAGUUAAUGAUUUUUCAACAGAAUUUUUUUUUUUUUUUUUUUUUUUUUUUUUUUUUUUUUUUUUGUGGCCUUAGUCACUAUUGAAUCCUAAUAUUUGAAAUUUGCCUGGAAAUUGACAAAUGGGUCCACUCUUUCUCUCACUUGAUCAAUGUUGAAAUGGAUAAUAUGGUUGUGUUUUGUCAUUGCAUGGAUAGAGAACACACAGUAUUAAAAAUUGAUUAGAAAACACCUGUUUUAUUAAUUUUUACCCAAAAAAAGAACAGUAAGAAUGAUAAGAUAUAAUGGCAUUUUUCUAGGUUAUGUCAAUAUGUCAAGUGAUCAUCUUGGACUUCAGAAGCUCCAAAGAGUGGAGCAAAGCCUGUAGAUUCAUUGGUAAUGAUUGUUCUUCAUUAUGGAAGGAUGCAAAGCCAAUGACGAGUUAAAUAUUUUAUUUGUUGAAUAAGCAAAGUAUUUUUAUCAUGUUAGACCUUAAUAAUUCAUCUGCAGGUGGCUGUCGUGACUCACAUGGUCAAUACCAGUAGAUCCAUGAGAUGUUUCCUUAAAGGGACUAGCAGCAGUCCACUUGUGCAAUUUUCUAGCUUAUCUGAGGAUACAAAUGACCUUGGAGAUGGUGGAGGAACUCCAGCCUUUCUCUUUUGGCCAAUCUCUUCUUUCGGUAAAUAGCUGUCUGCAAAGAUUUUAUACUGCAUUUAGUUUUUUUUUGGGAUGUGAGUCAUCAAUUGUAACAAGUUAAAAGCUUAAAUUAAGGAAGUAAAAAAGUGGCCUCAAAAAGCCAUUUAUUUAUUUAUUUAUUUAUUUAUUUAUUUUCUGAUUGACCAAAGGUUCAUUGAUUUAAUGAGAACGGUGACAGUGAUGGGGAGAGUGAUGAGACUAAGUUGAAGUGAAUGUCUCUAUUGUAAUACAGAGAUCCUCAAUUUACUAGGUCUAUUAACUUCACAUAAUAUCAGAAAAUAAAUGUAUGUUCACAUUCAAAAAAUUUAAGCUAUAUGUUUAAUCAAAAGUAGGUUGGUCAUUUGCAUUUUUAGCACAUGUCUCUAACAUUAUAUCUUAGCAAGUAUUCUUUUAUUAAAAAAUGUAGGUGAAUUACCCAAAUGUUAUUGUACUUUGAAAAAGCAUACACAUCAUUGUUAAGCUAAUAUGUCAUUAAUAUGCAUACUCUUACUUGCCUAUCAAAAAAAAAAAAACAGUGUUAAGCUAACAUUCCAUGUCAAAUAAAGUGGUGAUUUUACUCCAUAGGGAUUGGUCCUUAGUGGGAGUUCGUUUGUUUUAUGUGUAUUUUCCUGUAACUUAGUUGUCUUUGGUGGGAGGAUUUCUCAUCCUUCUUCUUGUACUUCUUUUUUAUAUUAAUAUAUCUUUGUGGCGUUUCCAAUCAAAAAAUAAAGUGGUGAUUUUAUUGAGUUCCAAGCAGUUUUGAAUAGUUACAGUGAACUUUUAGAAGUUUGGGAAAGUUUAAAUGAGCUUUUGAGUACCUGUAAAAUUAAAUUAGAGGGAGGGAGGGAGUAGCUUCCAGGAGUUAUAAUUUAAAACUACAUGGAGGGAGGGAGGGUGUAAAAAAUUAGAAGUUACAUUUAGACCUCAUUUCUAUUGCCUCAAGAAUGGAAAAUUGCGUUUUUUCUAUGAAAA